CCUGCCGCCCAACGGCGCCUUUGUUCGCCUCCAGCCUUGUUUUCCUCACGCUUUACCCUGCUGUUUAGAAUAUCUCAGCACCUCAGGGUUCCCGUCGACAGUCCCUCAGUCAGUGCAGUUCGGAAUUCCCGUCUCUCCCUCUCUGAGGACUUGAAGCAAACGCGCAAACAGAACCCACGCCCUACAUGUUCCUGAGAUGCACCCUCUCCUUUCCCCGCUAUUGAGUCCCAUUUUCCCCGAGUGUAAUCCCUAGACUUUAUCUUCACACACGGAUGUAUGAGUUCAGGGACCUUUUUCCUACAGAAAUCGUACUCUAACUGGGAUUGUGGAACUAGAGAUUCCUCUCAGCCCUUGGAAGCAAUUUCCUCAGCGUGAAAGCUUGGGCCAAAAAAGUAGAAGCGAAACCCAGCCCUCCCUUCCUCUUCAGCUUCUCUUGGCCUCUCCGGGCCCCAGACUUGAUCAUCCUUGAACUGAAGUAGAAGGCCGGCCUCCCAGCUGAUAAGUUAAAAGUAUGUAUCUUACAAACCAGGAGCCUUUAUGAAGCAAGAGUUCUGCUCUCCACUCCAAUGAUGGCAUUAUAAGCAAGUAAACAAAGACUUGACCGCGACACCAUCGCUUCUUUGGAAGUGAUGGUCACCCAGCUGCCUCUAACCUGCUGCUACAAUGAACAUCUUUGUGACUGUCCCCUUAUGAACCUGGGCUCAAGUUCCUCUGGGAUGCCUCCCUGGAAUAGA